CGUAAUCAGUUGGCUUUUAAAUGGAGACAGGAAUGAAUGGGAUAACCGGGCUUAGCUGUCUCUUUUCUAAUAAUUUGAAUUUACUUUGUAAGUGAGAAAGCUUACUGUUUGAAGAGGGAGGAGAAGACCCUUAGAAUUUUACUUAUAUGUUUAAUCAUACUGGUUUUGUUGGGGUGACAAAGAAAUAUAUUAAAACUUUCUUUAAAAUACUUGCCGAUUAUAUUAAGUGAGAAUAAAUUACCUGAGGGAUAACAGCAUAAUUCUACAUUUGAGUUUGUGACCUCGAUGUUGGACUAGGAAACUAGCAAGCUAGCCGUUUGCUUUGUGGGUUCUGUUCGAACUUAAUUCCU
rnacentral:rRNA from 1 species